rnacentral:rRNA from 1 species
GAUGAACGCUGGCGGCGUGCCUAAUACAUGCAAGUCGAGCGAACGGACGAGAAGCUUGCUGCGCUGAUGUUAGCGGCGGAGGGGUGAGUAACACGUGGAUAACCUACCUAUAAGACUGGUAUAACUUCGGAAAACCGUAGCUAAUACCGGAUAAUAUUUUGAACCGCAUGGGGCAAAAGUGAAAGACGGUCGUGCUGUCACGUAUAGAUGGAUCCGCGCUGCAUUAGCUAGUUGGUCAGGUAACGGCUUACCAAGGCAACGAUGCAUAGCCGAACUGAGAGGGUGAUAGGCGACCCUAGAAGUGAGACAGCGUCCAGAGUACUAAGGGACGGAGCAGUAGGGAACCUUACGCAAUGGGCGAAAGCAUGACGGAGCAACGGCGAGUGAGUGAUGACGGUCUCCGGAUCGUAAAACUCUGUUAUUAGGGAAGAACCUCUUUGUACGUAACUGUGCCGAUCUUGACGGUACCUAAUAAGAAAGCAACGGCUAACUACGUG